UAUUUAUUAGUUUAACCCAAAACAUUACACUUUCACUGUAAAUAUAAAAUACUAUAAUUUUAUAAAUUA
rnacentral:tRNA from 1 species